GUUGAAAUGCUGGCCAACCAGACAGGGAAACAGGAUCGUGACUCCAGCAAAUCAAGAGGAAAAAACGAAGUGCAUCAAAAGCCACCAGGUUCCAGAUGCUAACAUGAUUCCAACCAGACUUCCCUGGACAGAUGACCUCACCAAUGUGUCCUGAAACUCUGCUUCCUGAGAGACAUGCCCCUAUAAGGAAAGAGAGAAGCAGGCUAGGAUUAUGGGUCAACCUGUCAAAGCCCAUGUUCAUCGGGUUCCAGAUGCCAGCAGGAUGCCGACCAGACUUCCCUGGACAGAUGACCCCACCAAUGUGUCCUGGAGCUCUGCUUUCUUAGAGACCCACCCUACUAGGGAAAGAGAGUGUCAGGCUGGGAGUAUGGAUCAAUGGACCAGUCAAUGCCCAUGUUCAGCUGGGAAGCAAUUACAGAAGACAAACCUUAUACCUUCUGCAACCCACAAUGAUCUUGGGUCCAUACUCCCAGAGGGAUAAAGAAUGGGAAAGCUAUCAGGGGAGGGGAUGGGAGUUGUACCCUGUACCUGUGUGGAGUUGUACCCAUCCUAUCCUACA